AUAUAUAUGUUUACAGGGUUAUUAAUUCAAGUCCAUACCAACCCACAAACAAAUUAUACACAAAUUCCAUUUCUAACCUGACUUUAAGUUACUCCAGUCCAGUGUUUUGACAGUCUUUACUACACCCUUAUCACACGCAACAUGCUUUUCCUUCACUCAACUACCAUCCUAAUUCCUAGUGCAAGGCUCAAAAAAUAUAUAAAAAAAAAAAAA
rnacentral:misc_RNA from 1 species